AAAAACAUUGAAAAUUGAAACUAGCGACAGCUCCCUUGCAAGGAUAUUUUGGAUCUCCAAAAAGGAGGUUUUUGCGAAGGUCAAUAUUUCACGCUGCAGAAACAGAACAGAACUUAGAAGUUUGGCCAUGCCCAGGAGGGAGUGACUGAGUUAUGGGGUGCAGAAGAAGCACAAGCCAUCUCGACAUGAUGAAUCAUCCCCAACAGCGCUUGAGGAUGGUUUCUUGCUCGAUGAGGAUGAAUCCAUAACUGAGAACUGAGGAUGAUACUUCUCUCAACACUGCAUUGUAUGAAGACAAAGCAACUCAGUGUGGUUAGUCAUCGUCAACAACAGAACCAGACUCAGCUGACGUUGGAGACUGUCAAGUUGAGAUCACUGUGCCUAUCAGGGUUGAGUGUUACAUACUGAACGAAGUGAUCCAAAGCAAUUUAUUGUCAAUACGCACGCUAGAGACCUGGACAUUCGCUUUUUACAUUCAGAUCAAAGCAUGGCAAAACAUAUUUAAGGAUGAAAGUAUGUGUUAAUGAAGCAGGACACACUACUGAAUAUGUUCGUGGUUAGGAAGUUGCCCAGAACCAUUUUUUUGUGGGAACAAAUUUCUAGUGAUUAUCUUUUUGCCCUUUAGCUCACCUGAGCACAAUGUGCUAAUGGUGAGCUUUUUUGAUCGCCUUUUGGCAGUCGUGGAGUGCGUGUUGUGUGGCGUCAACAUUUGCCUUGUAAACAAUCUUGAGGCCACAUUAAUUGUCCAAACUUCAUAAAAUUUGGUCAGAACAUUUUUCCAAAUGAAAUCUCGGACAAGUUAAAAAAUUGUUCCGGUUUAUUGUCCGUCAUCAUGAAACUUGGUCAGAAGAUUUGUCAAAAUGAUAUCUUGGGCAAGUUCAAAAAUGGUUCCGGUUGGUUCAAAAACAUGGGCACCAGGAGGUGGGGCAUUUUUCCUUAUAUGUCUAUAUAUAGCUAUAGAAAAACCUGGUAUCCGGACAAUCUCUCCUACAGACAAUCGCUCCUACGCUAAAUUUGAUAGGGCGGAUGGUCGCUCCUACGAUGUUUUGACAGGGCGGACAGUCGCUCCUACGAUGUUUUGCAAGGGCGGACAGUCGCUCCUACGAUGUUUUGACAGGGCGGACAGUCGCUCCUACAUUAUUUUGCCAACCUGGACAAUCGCUCCUACAUUAUUUUGUCAACCCGGACAGUCGCUCCUACAUUAUUUUGACUCCACGGCAAAAUGUAGUGUACGCUGAUCAAAGGCUAACACCUAUGAUUAACCGACAAUUAAAAUUGCCAACUUGUGUCGAAAAAUGCGAAAUAAGCCAGAUAUUUAGAUUUGAAAUCGAAAAUGUCUGUACAUUUGAAUUCGCCAUUAUGUUGCAUUUCAUGAAUUUUGUAUUCAAUGUAUAAUUGAUUGAAGCGAUUGAAUAAUUUGGAAAGUUCUAGUGAUGUCGUUUAAAUUUGUGAAACUACGAUGAUAUAAGGUAUAAAAUACGCAUCUUGUGUAUCCUUGGCAGGAUAGCUCAGUUGGCUAAUGCGUUUUUUACUUCGAGUCCUGCUGCGGGCUACUUUUGUUUUCCUUUUUUAAAUUUUAUUUUUGAUUUUUUACUGGAGCUUUUUAAAUUUAAUGUUUACAUUUAUCAAUAUAAAGCAUUUAAUGACAAACUUCAAAACAUGCCAAAAUCUGUGAAAAGGCCCCUUUAAUGUGACGCCAUUCUGUAAUCUUUAUGCACGGUUGGCACAUCAUAGGUGUCAAAGUGGUCAUUAUCGAUUGAUACUACCAUUGUUGUUAUAGCAAUUAUUGAUUUAAUGCGGUUUUUAUGUUUAUUCCAUUCGCAAAAUGGCACUUAUUCCAAUAAAUGUAAUAUAGGAAAGAAUGUCCCUGAUAGGAAUAAUGUAGGAACCAUUGUCCAAAGUGCCC